CAAGCGUGGAGACAGGGCUGCAAGCUCCAGAGGGUUGACAUGACCUGACCCUCCCAGGGCCAAGGAGACCAGCGCAGGUUGCAGGCUCUUCCAUCUCUUCUGGGGCGAAAAGAUUGUUUCAGCACCUGAAGCUCCCCUGUGCACCACUGGCAGGUUGGUGAAGAGCUGCUUCACCUGAAUUAAACAGUUCAUCUUUAAAUCAAGACUCAAGGCUACAAACAGCUAUUUUUUUUUAAAUCCCUUAUGAAAAGACAACAAAAAGCAAACAUGUAAGAAUAAACAAAUCAAAAGAUAUAAUACA
rnacentral:lncRNA from 1 species